rnacentral:lncRNA from 10 species
CAGGUUUAGAAUAGUUCACCAGUGAAGUCAUCUCAACCAGCACAGGGCCUUGACUCCUAACAACAAUCACACGAACUUGGAAGAGGAGCCUUCCCCAACUGAACCUUCGCUUGAGACCUCGUCCUUGGCCAUCCUCUACAUCUGGAUUCAUGAUACAGAGAAACUUGAGUAAUGAUGACACUAGCAGUCCAGCCUGCAUGGAUGCUGACAUGGAUGCUGUCUCCCAUUCUUACCACUGGAUGGGAAGAAAUGCUAGAUGCAAUCCAGCCAGUCUGUACUCGACUGUCAGUUCCAUCUUCUCAACUCACAGUGUCUUCCAAAGUCCGUGCCACACCACAGCCUGGAACAUCUCCCAAGGUUUCAAAUAAUUCAUCAGUGAAUUCUUCUCAACCUGGUCAAUCAUGUGAACUUAGAAGAUGAUUCCUCCCCAGCUGAUCCUCAGGUGAGACAUCAGCCUUGGCCAUCAUCUACAUCUGGAUUCCUGACCCAGAGAAACUGUGAGUAAUUUGUGUGUGCUUUUGAGCCACUAAGCUACAUGGUAAUUGGCUAUUCUGCAAUAAACAAUAAUACACUUGAUGAUAAACAUAAUAUGUUAUCCUUGAUUAGAUCCAAGAAAAGGAAAAAUGGCAUUAGUGAAAAACCUGGUAAAAUAUGAAGACAGUCAGUAGUUU